UACGUAGGAUGCAAGCGUUGUCCGGAAUUAUUGGGCGUAAAGAGCGCGCAGGCGGUCUGCCAAGUCAGAUGUGAAAGAGGCCGGCUUAACCGGCAAGGGUCAUUUGAAACUGACAGACUAGAGUGCAGCAGAGGAUAGCGGAAUUCCCGGUGUAGUGGUGAAAUGCGUAGAUAUCCGGAAGAACACCGGUGGCGAAGGCGGCCUGCUGGGCAGUGGCUGACGCUGAGGCGCGACAGCGUGGGGAGCAAACAGG
rnacentral:rRNA from 1 species